rnacentral:rRNA from 1 species
UACGUAGGGUGCAAGCGUUAAUCGGAAUUACUGGGCGUAAAGCGUGCGCAGGCGGUUGUGCAAGACAGAUGUGAAAUCCCCGGGCUUAACCUGGGAAUUGCAUUUGUGACUGCACGGCUAGAGUGUGUCAGAGGGGGGGUAGAAUUCCACGUGUAGCAGUGAAAUGCGUAGAUAUGUGGAGGAAUACCGAUGGCGAAGGCAGCCCCCUGGGAUAACACUGACGCUCAUGCACGAAAGCGUAGGGAGCAAACAGG